rnacentral:rRNA from 1 species
CAGCACCUCAAGUGGUCAGGAUGAUUAUUGGGCCUAAAGCAUCCGUAGCCGGCGCUGUAAGUUUUCGGUUAAAUCUGUAAGCUCAACGUACAGGCUGCCGGGAAUACUGCAGCGCUAGGGAGUGGGAGAGGUAGACGGUACUCGGUAGGAAGGGGUAAAAUCCUUUGAUCUAUUGAUGACCACCUGUGGCGAAGGCGGUCUACCAGAACACGUCCGACGGUGAGGGAUGAAAGCUGGGGGAGCAAACCGGAUUAGAUACCCGAGUAGUCC